UACGUAGGGUGCAAGCGUUAUCCGGAAUUAUUGGGCGUAAAGAGCUCGUAGGCGGUUUGUCGCGUCUGCUGUGAAAACUGGAGGCUCAACCUCCAGCCUGCAGUGGGUACGGGCAGACUAGAGUGCGGUAGGGGAGAUUGGAAUUCCUGGUGUAGCGGUGGAAUGCGCAGAUAUCAGUAGGAACACCGAUGGCGAAGGCAGAUCUCUGGGCUGAUACUGACGCUCAUGCACGAAAGCGUGGGGAGCAAACAGG
rnacentral:rRNA from 1 species